GACGAACGCUGGCGGCGUGCUUAACACAUGCAAGUCGAGCGGUAAGGCCCUUUCGGGGGUACACGAGCGGCGAACGGGUGAGUAACACGUGGGUGACCUGCCCUUAGCUCUGGGAUAAGCCUGGGAAACUGGGUCUAAUACCGGAUAUGACUCCAUGACGCAUGUUGUGGGGUGGAAAGCCUUGUGCGGCUAGGGAUGGGCCCGCGGCCUAUCAGCUUGUUGGUGGGGUGAUGGCCUACCAAGGCGACGACGGGUAGCCGGCCUGAGAGGGCGACCGGCCACACUGGGACUGAGACACGGCCCAGACUCCUACGGGAGGCAGCAGUGGGGAAUCUUGCGCAAUGGGCGAAAGCCUGACGCAGCGACGCCGCGUGGGGAUGACGGCCUCGGUGUAA
rnacentral:rRNA from 1 species